AGUGUGGCGCAAUGGUAGCGCAACAGUUUUGUAAACUGUGGGUUGCAGGUUCGAGUCCUGUCACUG
rnacentral:tRNA from 4 species